rnacentral:rRNA from 1 species
UUCACGGCUGCGGUUUCCAACCGGUGCGAAGGUUCGUAAUCACUUGUUCUUUAAAUGUGGACAAGUAGGAAUGGCAUCACGAAGGUUAUACUGUCUCCUUUUUCUAAUCAGUGAAACUAAUCUCCCCGUGAAGAAGCGAGGAUAAGAAUAUAAGACGAGAAGACCCUAUGGAGCUUUAAACAAAGUAGCACUCGCCACAUGAAUAAAAAAUUCCAGAAUCACUAUUUACCUUAAGCGACUUGACUAUGUGUUUUUGGUUGGGGUGACCGCGGAGCAUAACACAACCUCCAUGUUGAAAGAAAAUUUUCUAAACUAAGAACCACUCCUCUAAGUAUCAAAAAAUUGACAUCCAUUGACCCAAUAAAUUUGAACAACGAACCAAGUUACCCUAGGGAUAACAGCGCAAUCCACUUCAAGAGCUCCUAUCGACAAGUGGGUUUACGACCUCGAUGUUGGAUCAGGGUCUCCCAGUGGUGCAGCCGCUACUAAAGGUUCGUUUGUUCAACGAUUAAAACCCUACGUGAUC